rnacentral:rRNA from 1 species
GAUGAACGCUAGCUACAGGCUUAACACAUGCAAGUCGAGGGGCAGCAUUUCAGUUCGCUUGCAAACUGGAGAUGGCGACCGGCGCACGGGUGAGUAACACGUAUCCAACCUGCCGAUAACUCGGGGAUAGCCUUUCGAAAGAAAGAUUAAUACCCGAUGGUAUAAUCAGACCGCAUGGUCUUGUUAUUAAAGAAUUUCGGUUAUCGAUGGGGAUGCGUUCCAUUAGGCAGUUGGUGAGGUAACGGCUCACCAAACCUUCGAUGGAUAGGGGUUCUGAGAGGAAGGUCCCCCACAUUGGAACUGAGACACGGUCCAAACUCCUACGGGAGGCAGCAGUGAGGAAUAUUGGUCAAUGGGCGCAGGCCUGAACCAGCCAAGUAGCGUGAAGGAUGACUGCCCUAUGGGUUGUAAACUUCUUUUAUAUGGGAAUAAAGUUUUCCACGUGUGGAAUUUUGUAUGUACCAUAUGAAUAAGGAUCGGCUAACUCCGUGCCAGCAGCCGCGGUAAUACGGAGGAUCCGAGCGUUAUCCGGAUUUAUUGGGUUUAAAGGGAGCGUAGGUGGACAGUUAAGUCAGUUGUGAAAGUUUGCGGCUCAACCGUAAAAUUGCAGUUGAUACUGGCUGUCUUGAGUACAGUAGAGGUGGGCGGAAUUCGUGGUGUAGCGGUGAAAUGCUUAGAUAUCACGAAGAACUCCGAUUGCGAAGGCAGCUCACUGGACUGCAACUGACACUGAUGCUCGAAAGUGUGGGUAUCAAACAGGAUUAGAUACCCUGGUAGUCCACACAGUAAACGAUGAAUACUCGCUGUUUGCGAUAUACAGUAAGCGGCCAAGCGAAAGCAUUAAGUAUUCCACCUGGGGAGUACGCCGGCAACGGUGAAACUCAAAGGAAUUGACGGGGGCCCGCACAAGCGGAGGAACAUGUGGUUUAAUUCGAUGAUACGCGAGGAACCUUACCCGGGCUUAAAUUGCAUUUGAAUAUAUUGGAAACAGUAUAGCCGUAAGGCAAAUGUGAAGGUGCUGCAUGGUUGUCGUCAGCUCGUGCCGUGAGGUGUCGGCUUAAGUGCCAUAACGAGCGCAACCCUUAUCUUUAGUUACUAACAGGUCAUGCUGAGGACUCUAGAGAGACUGCCGUCGUAAGAUGUGAGGAAGGUGGGGAUGACGUCAAAUCAGCACGGCCCUUACGUCCGGGGCUACACACGUGUUACAAUGGGGGGUACAGAAGGCAGCUACCUGGUGACAGGAUGCUAAUCCCAAAAGCCUCUCUCAGUUCGGAUCGAAGUCUGCAACCCGACUUCGUGAAGCUGGAUUCGCUAGUAAUCGCGCAUCAGCCAUGGCGCGGUGAAUACGUUCCCGGGCCU